UAUCCGUUGGUGAACCAGCGGAGGGAUCAUUACAGAGUUGCAAAACUCCCAAACCAUUGUGAACGUUACCUAUCCCGUUGCUUCGGCGGGCGGCCCGGGCCCCGCGCCCGGCGCCCCCCGGCCCCCCGUGGGCGCCCGCCGGAGGUAAACCAAACCCUUGAAUUGCAUGGCCUCUCUGAGUCUUCUGUACUGAUUAAGUCAAAACUUUCAACAACGGAUCUCUUGGUUCUG
rnacentral:misc_RNA from 1 species